UUACGGCAAUACAGCGUUGAAGCGCCGUUUCCCGUACGAUGACCGAAGUUAAGCAACGUCGAGUCUGGUCAGUUCCUAGAUGGGUAACCUCUUGGGAAUACCAGGUGCUGUAAG